GACGAACGCUGGCGGCAUGCCUAAUACAUGCAAGUCGAGCGAACGGAUGAAGUGCUUGCACUUCUGACGUUAGCGGCGAACGGGUGAGUAACACGUAAGGAAUCUACCUAUAAGCGGGGGAUAACAUUCGGAAACGGGUGCUAAUACCGCAUAAUAUCUUCUUCCGCAUGGAAGAAGAUUGAAAGACGGCUCUGCUGUCACUUAUAGAUGACCUUGCGGUGCAUUAGUUAGUUGGUGGGGUAACGGCCUACCAAGACGAUGAUGCAUAGCCGACCUGAGAUGGUGAUCGGCCACAUUGGGACUGAGACACGGCCCAAACUCCUACGGGAGGCAGCAGUAGGGAAUCUUCCGCAAUGGGCGAAAGCCUGACGGAGCAAUGCCGCGUGAGUGAAGAAGGCCUUCGGGUCGUAAAACUCUGUUAUAAGAGAAGAACAAAUUGUAGAGUAACUGCUACAGUCUUGACGGUAUCUUAUCAGAAAGCCACGGCUAACUACGUGCCAGCAGCCGCGGUAA
rnacentral:rRNA from 1 species